rnacentral:rRNA from 1 species
AAUCAAGGCUGAGGCGUGAUGACGAGGCACUACGGUGCUGAAGCAACAAAUGCCCUGCUUCCAGGAAAAGCCUCUAAGCAUCAGGUAACAUCAAAUCGUACCCCAAACCGACACAGGUGGUCAGGUAGAGAAUACCAAGGCGCUUGAGAGAACUCGGGUGAAGGAACUAGGCAAAAUGGUGCCGUAACUUCGGGAGAAGGCACGCUGAUAUGUAGGUGAAGUCCCUCGCGGAUGGAGCUGAAAUCAGUCGAAGAUACCAGCUGGCUGCAACUGUUUAUUAAAAACACAGCACUGUGCAAACACGAAAGUGGACGUAUACGGUGUGACGCCUGCCCGGUGCCGGAAGGUUAAUUGAUGGGGUCAGCGCAAGCGAAGCUCUUGAUCGAAGCCCCGGUAAACGGCGGCCGUAACUAUAACGGUCCUAAGGUAGCGAAAUUCCUUGUCGGGUAAGUUCCGACCUGCACGAAUGGCGUAAUGAUGGCCAGGCUGUCUCCACCCGAGACUCAGUGAAAUUGAACUCGCUGUGAAGAUGCAGUGUACCCGCGGCAAGACGGAAAGACCCCGUGAACCUUUACUAUAGCUUGACACUGAACAUUGAGCCUUGAUGUGUAGGAUAGGUGGGAGGCUUUGAAGUGUGGACGCCAGUCUGCAUGGAGCCGACCUUGAAAUACCACCCUUUAAUGUUUGAUGUUCUAACGUUGACCCGUAAUCCGGGUUGCGGACAGUGUCUGGUGGGUAGUUUGACUGGGGCGGUCUCCUCCUAAAGAGUAACGGAGGAGCACGAAGGUUGGCUAAUCCUGGUCGGACAUCAGGAGGUUAGUGCAAUGGCAUAAGCCAGCUUGACUGCGAGCGUGACGGCGCGAGCAGGUGCGAAAGCAGGUCAUAGUGAUCCGGUGGUUCUGAAUGGAAGGGCCAUCGCUCAACGGAUAAAAGGUACUCCGGGGAUAACAGGCUGAUACCGCCCAAGAGUUCAUAUCGACGGCGGUGUUUGGCACCUCGAUGUCGGCUCAUCACAUCCUGGGGCUGAAGUAGGUCCCAAGGGUAUGGCUGUUCGCCAUUUAAAGUGGUACGCGAGCUGGGUUUAGAACGUCGUGAGACAGUUCGGUCCCUAUCUGCCGUGGGCGCUGGAGAAUUGAGGGGGGCUGCUCCUAGUACGAGAGGACCGGAGUGGACGCAUCACUGGUGUUCGGGUUGUCAUGCCAAUGGCACUGCCCGGUAGCUAAAUGCGGAAGAGAUAAGUGCUGAAAGCAUCUAAGCACGAAACUUGCCCCGAGAUGAGUUCUCCCUGACUCCUUGAGAGUCCUGAAGGAACGUUGAAGACGACGACGUUGAUAGGCCGGGUGUGUAAGCGCAGCGAUGCGUUGAGCUAACCGGUACUAAUGAACCGUGAGG